rnacentral:rRNA from 1 species
UACGUAGGGUGCGAGCGUUGUCCGGAAUUACUGGGCGUAAAGAGCUCGUAGGUGGUUUGUCGCGUUGUUCGUGAAAACUCACAGCUCAACUGUGGGCGUGCGGGCGAUACGGGCAGACUGGAGUACUGCAGGGGAGACUGGAAUUCCUGGUGUAGCGGUGGAAUGCGCAGAUAUCAGGAGGAACACCGGUGGCGAAGGCGGGUCUCUGGACCGAUACUGACGCUGGAGGCGCGAAAGCGUGGGGAGCAAACAGG